AUUGAACGCUGGCGGCGUGCCUAACACAUGCAAGUCGAGCGGUAACAGGCGUAGCAAUACGUGCUGACGAGCGGCGGACGGGUGAGUAAUGCUUGGGAAUCUACCCAGUAGUGGGGAAUAACCAGUCGAAAGAUUGGCUAAUACCGCAUACGUUCUACGGAAGAAAGCGGGGGACCGUAAGGCCUCGCGCUAUUGGAUGAGCCCAAGUCGGAUUAGCUAGUUGGCGGGGUAACGGCCCACCAAGGCGACGAUCCGUAGCUGGUCUGAGAG
rnacentral:rRNA from 1 species